GGGAGGGCUCGGCCGCCGCCGCCGCGCCGGGUCGUGCUUAAUAUUCAAUGAGCUCGCUCGCGCCUCCCCCUCCUCUUCUGGCAGAAAUUCCACCGAGUCCGUUACUGGGCUCAGACUUUUAAGUUAUUUACUGCCCACCCCCGACUCCCCUGGGCUAGUAACCAGUGUCUUUGGGGCUAUCCUCGCCCCCGACUCCCGCCUGAAAAUGACAUUUCGCCGGCGUCUCCGGAGGGGGCCGAAUUUCACUUUGUAACUUUCUGCGGAACCCGAGCCCGGGUGGCAGCUCGGGUGGUGGUAUCGUAUGCAAAUACGCAUGCUGACGUUACAGAUCAUGUGGGUUUUGGCGUAGAUUCCCCACUGAUCGAGGCAUUUUUUCCCCUUUUUUUUUACCCCCUUCUUUUUUUUUUUUUCUUUGAAAAAUUUUGGCCACCCAUCCCCGCGUGGGGCUGCUUCUGUCGGUGUGUCUGGCAGGCCGGCUUUCCCCCCUCUUUCCCACGGAGCCCGAGCCGGGCGCCCGCUGGGGAGUGGGGAGUGGGGUGGGGGGAGCCAGCAGAGUUCCAUUUUGGAACGCCCGAGCCGCGUCUCCGCGUUCCCAGCCCGGGUCCCCGCGUCCCCAGCCCCGGCGCAGGUUCAGUCGAGUACACUGGGCAAGAAGGUGGGCUGCAGAACCUGACAGCCUACAUCCCAAUCCUGGCUCCCCCCACUCACCAGCUGAUGACCCCAGGUGAAGAAACAGAGUCUCAACCAAGUGUCACAGCCAGGACCCAGCCCAGACCUUCCACCCCUAAAGUCACAGAGCAGAGCGUAGCUGAGUUGGAAAGACAGGUCUUGACGCACUGACUGCUCUUGGAGUCAAAUAGUAAAAAGAUUCCCAGGAUGUAAGCAGUACGGGACUGGUGAGUGGCGCUGUGUUUGGCGGUCGGGGCCUAGGUUGGGUUUCAAGGAGGGAGAGGAGAUGAAUGGGAGGGGCAGGGCUGAGAGCUGAGCUUUUGCAGCCCUGAACCUGGGUCCCCAUCCCCAUCCUCCCGGCAGCAGCACCUGGCAGGGAAUCCAGGUGUGGAUCCCUGGGAAUGAGCUGGGUGCCUGCCAGUCCCUCCCCAGAAGCACACUGGGCCUGCAGGUGGCUUGGAUGGCCGUCCUCUGUGUGCUCAGAUGCGGACAGCUCAGGCUCACCCCCCAGCGGGCACGUGCUGGCAGUUGUUUGCCUCUGGCCAGGGUUAAAACAGAGAGGGAGCUGUGUGACUCACACCAGUUUGUAAACUGAAGCACUGAGAAGUGAUGACUAAGGGGAGGCGAGAAUGCUGCCUUUGCACCUUCGGGGGGCUGUCACUGGCAAGAGGAAGGUGGGCAG
rnacentral:lncRNA from 1 species